rnacentral:rRNA from 1 species
UACGUAGGGUGCAAGCGUUGUCCGGAAUUAUUGGGCGUAAAGAGCUCGUAGGCGGUUCGUCGCGUCGGCUGUGAAAUCCCGAGGCUCAACCUCGGGUCUGCAGUCGAUACGGGCGGACUGGAGUUCGGCAGGGGAGACUGGAAUUCCUGGUGUAGCGGUGAAAUGCGCAGAUAUCAGGAGGAACACCGAUGGCGAAGGCAGGUCUCUGGGCCAUAACUGACGCUGAGAAGCGAAAGCAUGGGGAGCGAACAGG